rnacentral:misc_RNA from 1 species
GAAGUUUCUUUCGUAGAUAUUUCCAACAUUAUACAGGGUGAAAAUAAAAACCAUCCGACGCACUCGUCGCGAGAUCCACCGGGAAAAAAACCUCAUUCGCCCUGAGAAUGCAGCACACCUCAAUGACAGGCGUGCUCAGAUUGAACUGUGCUUCGGAGUUUCAAAACCUGUUUUGAAAUUAUAAAACAAAUUUGAAUAUCUUCGCCAACUUCGCCAUAAUCAAUCUUUUCACAACCACAAAGCAUCCAGAUCCAAAUCCAACUUGUGCCAUUGGCAAGAGAAGAAAGCACGAAAGCCUGGAGCGGGGAGGAGGGACGUUCACAUCGCUCCAAGCUACUGACUGGUUCCCUUUCUCCGGUUCGAACACCGUUCUUCAACUGUCAGUGACUAAUAUAUCCGGGUUGUCGUCUUCCCGUCACUCUCCGUAUUCCCGCGUGUGCGAUGUCGCAAUGUGGUGCAAUGAUGGGGCAAUGUGUGCAAGCAAUGUGCGACCGAUGGUGGCCAUGGUUUCCAUGUUGCUUUCGUGCUGGAUUGGUGCUUCGUGUGUUCCCUCGCAUUCGCAUCUGCUACUGUACCGCCCCCCCCCUACUGUGACGUGCUUCUGCAUCUUUCCUGUUUUUUUUUUUGUUUUUCUGUAUGUUUCAUUCCUCUUCUUUCUCUCCCAAUGAGUAUGUACGCUAAAGUCAAAAUUCUUCAAGAUGGCAAGAUGUGCAUAGUCCACAAGGCUGUCGUGAAAAACUUUCACCCAACCAACAUCACUGGCUUUGAGUGGAAGAAGGUUUAUAAAGUCUUUAGGGACGGGGACGGAAACACGCGUUGCGACUACUACGAUGCCGAGAUCAUCAGGCUAACGGGCGAGUCAUACAUCCGGAGUGCGGGUUCAACCCUUUAAAAACUCAGUUUGUGUGGCAAUUAUGCGAAUUGUCACUGUCUUGAGCGAAGGCGUACACAACGGAAGGUACAGGUUUCUAGUUUUGGUUGGUCAAAGGGAAAGCAGGAAACAAUAUUAAGUGCAUGUAAUUUGUGAUACGUUAUUUGACGUUGCAAGAUGUGUUGAACAAGUAUGUUUAUUGUAAUCAUUUGUUAGAGCGUAUACUGUGCAGCGAGCGACAUAGUUGGAAGUGCUCGUCAGUAUUUUUAAUACCGUUCGAAUAUGCAGACUGCCAACUGUCAAAAAUCAGAGGGAAGAUAUAUAAGAUAUUUCAAAUUUAUUGAUUUCUGAUCACAUGUCAUGAAAAGUUACAAGACCGUGGAAAUAUUGUGAAUUAUCCGGGAUUUCGAAUUAACCGAAAUCAAAUUAUUAAGGUUCUACCAGAUGUUUUACUGCAUGUGCCACCACUGAGGGGCUCGCAAAAAGCAUCACGACGCUCCUUGAAUAGAAAAUUUUAAUCAACUAUUAACAUGAUCCUGUUUGCAUUUGUGCUAAUGAACAAACACAGAAACUUUAAACUGUCAUUACUUCAAUUAAUGUGGAAUUGCUUUUCAGUUGCUGAGCAGGACACCCUUGCAAAGAACGAGAUUGCGGAUGUCCCCAUCGGCCUCCAAAAUGAGGAUUGCAUGGAAAUGUUUUCACACUUCCAUGCAAUAUAUGACAUACAUUAAAAGGGUUUAGGAUAGAGUAAGCACAGUAGAUUGAAUCGAUCACUACCAGAAACCAUUAAAACAUUAUUGUAGGCAGGCUCUUACUUGUAAUAAUAGCUGGGGCCUGCAAAACGUUCUAUUCUCAUGCUGUCACCUGAUGCAACUAGGGAUUACAUACCUGUUUGAUACAAAUGCCAUGAAGCUUUAUGGUCCCAUCAGCUUUGCAGACGCCCAUGUACAUAGAAACUCCUAGACAGUGCUGUUUUAAAUUUAAAGGCCUAAAUUUCGUACAUGUAAUUAUUUUAGUGCCUCUUACAUGCAUCUUCUUGGAAAAUACAGUAGAACUCUGAGUCAACUAGACCGGUAUGUGUGAAACUGUUUCUCGCUUUUGUUUAUCCCUUUCCUGCCCUGCCCACACAAACGUGCGGGUUCAAAUAGAAUUUGUUUUACCUUUAUCAAAUCUAGGUGUUCCGACCCAGCCCGCACGUUUGUGUGGGUGCGUGGAAUAAAUUGAAACGAGUAGUCCCCGGUUUGCGCCGCAAGGGGGCUAGUUGGACCUUUUCCAAAAUGGCACUUUCCUCGAGAGACGCAUGCCGGCCGCCUUUGAAAACUAAGUGCAUCAUUUUGCUUUCUUUUCUUGUGCAUUUUCAGAACUAGGAAUUAGAAAGCAAUCCCGAGACCCGCUAAACGGCAUUAGGCGUACAAAUAGCCAUAUCAAUAUCGCACAGAGGUGCCGAGCACGUUCAAAACAGCCACCCGCACAUUUGUGUGGGUUGGGCAUGUAUGACGACAAAAACACCAUUUGACGUCGCCAUGAAAAAAUGCUUGUUACUUAGAUUUAUUUUAUUUUAUUUCUAGGAAUAUUAAAUCCUGAACAUGACGCUGACAUGGAGGAAAUACUCAAGAUUCUCGAGUCGUCUGACAUCGAUUGUGACAGCAGUGAUGGCGACGACCCCGAUUGGCAGCUACAUGCUCCAGAUGCAAACAGCAGUGAUGAUGAAGGAGAAAACGAGGAAGCCACCCCGGUUCCUUCAACGUUAAAAGGGUUCUUUCCCCCGCCUUCAUCGUUAAGUGCGACAUUGAAGAAAAAGACCAGAAACGUUUCAUGGAAAGACCUUCACUGAAAAACUGCAUCAGCUUCCAGCAAGUGAAGAGGACCAUGAGCCCCCUACUGUCGGCACACCGUCGAGCUACUUUGUGCGACAUUUCGACGACGAGUUCUUCGAGAAUGCUGCUGAGAAGACAAGUAUGUACCACAUGUCUCGGACAGGAAAGGUUCUGAAGGUGACUUCACACAAGAUCAAGCAACUGUUUGGCAUGCACAUUAUAAUGGGUUGUCUCCGCUUUCCGCACAUACACAUGUACUGGCGAAGGGGGCUUCAGCUCGAGCUGGUGAGCAGUGUCAUGGUGUCAUGGCACGUGAAGAGUUCAAGAUGCUAAGAACAUGCCUCCACUUCGUUGACACGGAGAGGCCACCCGCAGAACCAGACGAGAACAGACUGUGGAAAGUGCAGCCAAUAAUUGAUGCUGUCAGAAAAUGUUGCCAUAAGCUGGAGAGGAAACCUGUUUCCUACUCCAUUGAUGAACAGAUGAUACCUUUCACGGGAAGGUCCUCUCUGCGACAGUUCGUCAAAGGGAAACCACGGCCAGUGGGACUCAAAAAUUUUGUUGCGACCAUUUCCAAAGGCCUGGUGAUGGACUAUGAGAUAUAUCGAGGGAAAUCAACCCCUCUUGCUGACACAGCACUUGGCCUUGGUCCUAAUGUUGUUUGGAGACUUGUGCAAACUCUGCCCGAGAGGUCCCUCAUCUUCUUUGACAGGUACUUCACAACGAUCCCUCUCUUGGAUGAGCUUCUAAAGAGGGGCAUCAAAGGAACAGGAACAAUAAUGGCAAAUCAAAUUAAGAACAUUCGGUUUCGAAGUGACAACACCAUGAAGCAGAGAGAAUACGCGGGGUACACCCGUGACGAUGGAAAUGUGGUUGUAGUCAAGUGGAAGGACAGCAGAGCCAUGACCCUUGCAUCAACUUCUACUGGAGCCAGUCCUGUUGAACCUGUAAAGCGCUGGUCAAAACAGGAAAAAAAGUACAUCGAUGUACCAGCACCGGCAAUUGUCCGAAGGUACAAUGCGUGCAUGGGGGGCGUCGACAUUUGUGAUCAGCUGUUGGAAUAUUACAGGAUCGCUAUCAAGACAAGGAAAUGGACUUUAAAGGUCAGCCUACACAUGAUCGACCUCUCUCUUGCCAACUGUUGGAUGGAAUACAGUGACGCCUGCAGGGCAAAUGCUGUGCCACAGCGAGACACUAUGGACCUUCUCGACUUCCGCCUGGCAGUCGCUGAAGCUCUCUGCUCAAAACCCAAAAGAAAAAGAAGUGAAGCCGCGGAAGAGGUCGAUGACUCAAAUGGCCAGAUUCAGCAGCCUUACAAGGUGGCAAAGCUCCCCGGUGAAGAUAAGCGGCUAGAUUCCUUUGACCACUGGCCCACCGUGGAUGCCCUGAAGACCCCCCGAAUAUGCAGGUUGUCGGGAUGCAACUCACGGUCAAGGACGCAUUGCGAAAAAUGCAAUGUUUACCUUUGCCUGACAAGCGAUAGGAACUGCUUCAAGUUAUUUCAUACUUCCCUGUGAGGCAAAUGUGUCUCUGAGGCAAUGUUUUCCUUGGCAUAUAUUUGUUUACAGUUCGUGAGAUUCAUAGCAAUUGAAGCCCGACCCACACAUUUCUGUGGGUCCGUUUUGAAAAUGAAAGUAAAUUUUCUUUUUUAUCUUUCAGAUAUAUUAUAAGAGGCGUUCAGUGGUCUGAAAAUCCACAAAAGAUUUCAUAUUUGUGGUCAACGUUUUUACCGGGCAGGGAAGGGUUAUAGCAGAUCCAUGUGGGGCAAGCUGUGUAUAUCAACCAGGAAUCCUGGGGCAACAUGCGGAAAGCGGAGUGCGACUCCAUGUUUUGCAAAAUCAAGGCUUCUUCCAUAUGGCUACUUGAAGUGCUUUUGGAGAGGUCGGUGACCAACACCCUCUCCAACCAGGCAAAGAUGGCGGGGCAAGAAAAGGCGUUUGCACCACUCACUCCACAAAAGGUGCUGGCCCUCUCGGGUUCUCCUCGUUGAUCCGCACUCUUUCUUUCCUGUUAAUAUGACCCUGAGCUUCGAGAAUGGCCUCUCAACGCUAACACUGGACACUGGCAGGCUGAGGAGAUGAAGCGCUGCCCGAGUCAAAAUCGGCCAAUCAACAUAUUGUGACUGCCGAAAGAGGCACGGUGCGACGUUUUGAAGCACAACACAACAUGCAGAGCUCGCAUCAAGUCUCAAAUCUCUCUGGACAAUGUAUCAUUUCGAGUUGUCAAGGAAACAGUCAAAGUCUGCAUGUUCGGAAUGUAAUACUACAAAAAGACUUGGGAGAAAUAAAAAAAACAGGUAUGUUACAUGGUAAUGCACUUGCAAACGUUUCAAUCUCAUGCACCGAUCCAGCAGCCUCCCAAAGAUUGUGUGCAGUGAGUGUAAAGAGGAUACUUUGUGACAACUGUUUUUAUACUUAUUUUUCCUUAUGUAAUGCCCCUUAGGGUAUUCCCAAUAAAUGAAUGGAUUUAGGAAAAGCCCAAGAGCAUUAUGCAGAUGAUAUCAGCUUUUCCUUUUGCCAGUAACUGCACAGUGCAGACAACUUUGUUGUGAUAUAAGAUGGGGGCACAUUAGACUCGGUUGAUGUGUGCUAAUUUUAAGUAAUAAUUCCUACUUUCUAGGUGGACGUGCCCCAAACAUACGGCCAAUAAAAAAGGGUCAGCUGAAAACAGACAAGGCCAAGCAGCUGCAGGAGGCACUUGAUGCAGAGCAGCAGACUGGUCAAAGAGAGAAGAGAAGAGCGUACAAUAGAAUUGCCAACUGCAAUUCCCAUCGUAACCAUGGUUUCGAGGACAUAAAGCUUUUAGCCUAAACACGGAGAGGGACAUUACUGAGAGAAAACAAAUGUUGGCAAGGGAAGGACUUACAUCUGUAUCAGAUGUAAAAACAGCCAGCACUAUUAUGUGCAUGACAUACUUUUUUUAAGCAAGUGAAAACCUGAUGGCAGCUGCAGGGCCUUUUACCAGACACAUUGUGAUAUCAUUAACAAGAUCCAAGCUGUUUUUAAGAAAGACUGCUUCAGCACGGUUGAUCAAGAGAAUAGUAGCAUUCUAAUUGAAAAGAUCAGGAGCCCCAAUGCUUCAUUGUCUAUUGGCUGUAUGCGGCAUGCAGCUGCGUGGGUAGCAGCGACUCGGACGGCGUGGAAGACAGUGCUGCCAGUGAGUGUGAGGACACGUUGCUCUUCUACUUCCAGACAAAAUUCAUGAGAAACAUGUUGAGAAACUAUAGAGGCUCAGUAGGUUGUGUACACAAAGCUGGUGAACAUGCCCUACCACCUUCCUUGCUUGCUGUGAAAAUGCCAUCAGGAUACACACAAGCUGGUAUGUUUAUUGUGCAGUUCGAUACAGCCCACUGUAUCACCGAGGCUUUAGACGUUUUCAAGCAGUGGUGUAAUAACUGGUCACCACAGCACUGGAUGGAAGAUUACAGCAAAACAAAAAUAGCUGCCUUCCAGCAAGUGCUUCCAGAGAGUAAAAUCUCCAUCUGCGACUUCCAUAAAAAACAGGCAUGGCAAAGGUGGCUGGGCAGACAGGAAAACAGCAUGUCCGAUCUGGAUGAGGCUCCGAACCUUAUAAAACACUUAGCGAGUGCUUCAAAUCCCAAUGACUUCUACAAGGCGUUCAAAGUCCUUGUUGCCUAAGAGUGUUGAGAAAAUGAAAACUUCCGCAUUUACUUUGAAGUAGCGUGGCCCUCUGUAAAAGAGCUGUGGGCCAUGUCUUACAGGCUGUUAUUGGAUGCUGUCUUGACCACAAAUGAUAGCACAGAGCAGGGGUGGCCAAACCGCGGCUCGCGAACCGCAUGCGGCUCUUUGCUGGUCUAAGUGCGGCUUGCGGAUCCCUCGUAAGGGGACACCCCCCCCC